rnacentral:rRNA from 1 species
UACAGAGGGGGCAAGCGUUGUUCGGAAUUACUGGGCGUAAAGGGCGCGUAGGCGGCCUGUUAAGUCGAACGUGAAAUCCCCGGGCUCAACCCGGGAACUGCGUCCGAAACUGGCAGGCUCGAAUCCGGGAGAGGGAUGCGGUAUUCCAGGUGUAGCGGUGAAAUGCGUAGAUAUCUGGAGGAACAUCGGUGGCGAAGGCGGCAUCCUGGACCGGUAUUGACGCUGAGGCGCGAAAGCCAGGGGAGCAAACGGG